UCAAUCUCGUGCGGCUAAAAGCCACCUGUCCCUCUAAGAAGAAAUGACUGUCGCCUGGAGCCGGGGAUCCAGGUCCCCUAGUUAAUAGGCUAGAGUCUCGUUCGUUAU
rnacentral:rRNA from 1 species